AGAGUUUGAUUCUGGCUCAGAUUGAACGCUGGCGGCAUGGCUAAAGCAUGCAAGUCGAACGAAACCCGCAAGGGAAAAGUGGCGAAAGGGUCAGUAAUGCGAUCGAACGUGCCCUGAGGUGGAGGAUAGGCAUGGGAAACUGUGCGUAAUACUCCAUGUGCUCUACGGAGGAAAGCCGCAAGGCGCCUUUGGAGCGGCGAUCGUCCUAUCAGCUAGUUGGCGGGGUAAUGGCCCACCAAGGCGACGACGGGUAGCGGGUGUGAGAGCACGACCCGCGACAUCGGGACUGAGACACUGCCCGGACUCCUACGGGAGGCUGCAGCGACGAAUCUUCCGCAAUGGGCGAAAGCCUGACGGAGCAAUGCCGCGUGCAGGAUGAAGCGGCUACGCCGUGUAAACUGCUGUCAGGGGGUAGAAACACUGAUCACCCCCAAAGGAAGAGCCGGCUAACCCUGUGCCAGCAGCCGCGGUAAGACAGGGGGCUCGAGCGUUAAUCGGAAUCAUUGGGCUUAAAGGGUGCGUAGGCGGGUCGCUAAGUGUUCUGUGAAAUCCCUCGGCUCAACCGGGGAAUCGCAGGGCAUACUGGCGGCCUUGAGGCAUGUAGGGGCGGACGGAACUGUAGGUGGAGCGGUGAAAUGCGUAGAUAUCUACAGGAACGCCGAUGGUGAAGACGGUCCGCUGGGCAUGUCCUGACGCUGAGGCACGAAAGCGUGGGGAGCAAACAGGAUUAGAUACCCUGGUAGUCCACGCCCUAAACGAUGUGCACUAGAUCGGUGCGGCUCUGACGCCGUAUCGGUCGAAGUAAAAACGAUAAGUGCACCGCCUGGGGAGUACGGUCGCAAGGCUAAAACUCAAAGAAAUUGACGGGGGCUCACACAAGCGGUGGAGCAUGUUGCUUAAUUCGAGGCAACGCGAAGAACCUUACCUGGGUUUGACAUGGCCGGAUUAGUUCUUGGAAACAGGAAUGACACCUUCGGGUGGAACGGUCACAGGUGCUGCAUGGCUGUCGUCAGCUCGUGCUGUGAAGUGUCGGGUUAAGUCCCUUAACGAGCGCAACCCCUAUCGUUAGUUGCUAACGGGUAAAGCCGAGUACUCUAGCGAGACUGCCGGUGUCAAACCGGAGGAAGGUGGGGAUGACGUCAAGUCCUCAUGGCCCUUACAUCCAGGGAUGCAAACGUGCUACAAUGGUGCGCACAAAGCGAUGCAAGACAGCGAUGUGGAGCAAAUCGCAAAAAACGCACCCCAGUUCGGAUUGCAGGCUGCAACUCGCCUGCAUGAAGUCGGAAUCGCUAGUAAUCGGAGAUCAGCUACGCUCCGGUGAAUAUGUUCCUGACCUUGUACACACCGCCCGUCAAGUCAUGGGAGCCGGUAGCGCCCGAAGUCGCCACAUCACUGUGGUGCCCACGGCGAGAUCGGUGGCU
rnacentral:rRNA from 1 species